rnacentral:lncRNA from 1 species
AAAAAUAAAACACUUCAUGCAAAAAAUAUAAAUCUUCAUUGUGCACAUCAUCCCAAUCAAAAAGCACAUCUAGAUGACAAGAACAUUGCACUUUGAUUCUGUAAUACCAUUGACAUCAAAACCUGGAAAUCAAUAUCUAAAAUUAUAACAUGAUAAAAUAAAUUAGAAUAUGUAAAAAUAAAUAGUAGUAUUUUACCAUCAAAGUAACUUCUGAACUAAUUAUCAUCCGAUGCCACAUGUAACUUUCCAUCAAAUUCUACAAAAUAAAAAAUUAAACAUGUUAGAUGAUUGCAAACAAUUUAAUUAAUAAAUUACAAAAUAAAAGGUGCAAGUUUCAAAAAAAAAUUUACCUAACUCAAGGUUUCCGUAAGUUUCAAGAUCAUUUAUCAAGCCUUUUGAACCUUGAUAAAUUCAAAGAGACUAUCAAACUAAUAAAAAC